rnacentral:rRNA from 1 species
ACUCAAAUGAAUAGACGGGGACCCGCACAAGCGGUGGAGCAUGUGGUUUAAUUCGAUGCAACGCGAAGAACCUUACCUGGUCUUGACAUGUUGGGAAUCCCGAAGAGAUUUGGGAGUGCCGCAAGGAGCCCAAACACAGGUGCUGCAUGGCUGUCGUCAGCUCGUGUCGUGAGAUGUUGGGUUAAGUCCCGCAACGAGCGCAACCCUUGUCCUUAGUUGCCAGCAUUAAGUUGGGCACUCUAAGGAGACCGCCGGUGACAAACCGGAGGAAGGUGGGGAUGACGUCAAGUCAUCAUGGCCUUUAUGACCAGGGCUACACACGUGCUACAAUGGUAAGUACAGAGGGAAGCCAACUCGCGAGAGGGAGCCAAUCCCAGAAAACUUAUCGUAGUCCGGAUCGGAGUCUGCAACUCGACUCCGUGAAGUCGGAAUCGCUAGUAAUCGCAGAUCAGCAUUGCUGCGGUGAAUACGUUCCCGGGUCUUGCACACACCGCCCGU